GAGUGAAGAGGUGCCAGAAUCCGCGAAGAGGGUCGACGAAUGCGCUGCCGCGGAGGGCCGUGGAAGAACUUGCCGAUGGAGGGACCACAGAGGGAUCUAUGGGAGAACAACGGCAACUGCAGGAGAGUGGGCCAAAUAAUCAUGGCAACAGGACUUUUAGAAGCACGUCCUCUGAAAGCCAUUUUCUGCCUGUGGUUGGAAAGGGACUGUGAGUCUUUCCUCAGGAAGUCAGUAGCCCUACCUGGUGAGGUGAUCAAGAGUUUGCUAGCACAAGAGAUGAAGCAACAAUGGCCAUGAGGGAUUCAAGGAUUAUGCGGUAAGGUCUUAUGAAACACUUAAGAGCUACAUAAGGACCUAGACUUUAGGUUUGCUCCACAGGACCACACUUCCAGUUCUGUUUCACUUCCAGAUUUUCCCAGUUUUCCAUGCCUUUUCUCUGGUGAUGGCAGAAGAAGCACUGAUCUGAUUCAAGGGCAGGCAGGAGAGGAGAAAGCCAAAUCAAGAGCCUGAAUAAGCAAUACCCAGCAUAAUUUCAUUGACCACAUUCAGUCUAUCAGUCUUUUGGGAAAUAUUUAUAUUUUUCCUUCUCCCUGCCUUUGUCACCAAAAAAUUUCAUUU
rnacentral:lncRNA from 1 species